AUCGCGAUAUCGAGGUGCUGUCCUCCUACGAUUCGAUCGCGGUGGCGCGGUCUCGGUGGGCCGUCAUGGCAGAGAUAGAUCGGGACGAGGUGGUCGCGCUCGCCGCGCGGGAGCGCCCGGCGAUUGGCGGAGCGCUGUUGCUUCUCUACGGGUUGUCUCUAUGGUCGCUAUGGUACUGGCGUGGCAGGGAGGGGAGGGGGAGCAGAAGAAGGACACUGAGAAACUGGUCCUAGUCCUACGGGGUGCAGCAGGCGCGAAAACUUGGCAAUGCGAGAAAUCGUGACCAGGGAACUCCAAGUGGCUGGGGUAAGACCCAGUCUUUUCAUGACUCUUCAAAGGUCUUGGAAUAAGAGGUGGGUAAGGACGGUGCCAGCCGCCGCGGUAAUACCGGCAGCUCAAGUGGUCGUCGCUUUUAUUGGGCCUAAAACGUCCGUAGCCUGUUUGGUAAAUCUGUGGGUAAAUCAACCAGCUUAACUGGUUGAAUUCUGCAGAGACUGCCAGACUAGGGACCGGGAGAGGUGUGGGGUACUCUAGGGGUAGGGGUAAAAUCCUGUCAUCCUUAGAGGACCACCAGUUGCGAAGGCGCCACACUAGAACGGAUCCGACGGUCAGGGACGAAGCCUAGGGGCACGAACCGGAUUAGAUACCCGGGUAGUCCUAGGUGUAAACGCUGUGGAUUUGGUGUGUGGGGUCCGCAAUGGGCCCCCGGUGCCGGAGUGAAGAUGUUAAGUUCACUGCCUGGGGAGUACGGUCGCAAGGCUGAAACUUAAAGGAAUUGGCGGGGGAGCACUGCAACGGGAGGAGCGUGCGGUUUAAUUGGAUUCAACGCCGGAAAACUCACCAGUGCCGACGGACAAAUGAAAGCCAGUGUAAUGAGCUUGCUGGAUUGUUCGAGAGGUAGUGCAUGGCCGUCGUCAGUUCGUACCGUAAGGCGUUCUGUUAAGUCAGAUAACGAACGAGACCCUCAUCCCUAUUUGCUAAGGUCAGUCCGCUGAUCACAGGACUAUAGGGAGACCGCUGGCGCGAAGUCAGAGGAAGGCGAGGGCAACGGUAGGUCAGUAUG
rnacentral:rRNA from 1 species